rnacentral:rRNA from 1 species
AUUGAACGCUGGCGGCAGGCUUAACACAUGCAAGUCGAGCGAGUGGCGGACGGGUGAGUAAUGUCUGGGAAAAUGCCUGAUGGAGGGGGAUAACUACUGGAAACGGUAGCUAAUACCGCAUACCAUCAGAAGUGCCCAGAUGGGAUUAGCUAGUAGGUGGGGUAAUGGCUCACCUAGUCGACGAUCCCUAGCUGGUCUGCGAGGAUGACCACCCACACUGGAACGGAGACACGGUCCAGACUCCGACGGGAGGCAGCAGUGGGGAAUAUUGCACAAUGGGCGCAAGCCUGAUGCAGCCAUGCCGCUUGUGUGAAGAAGGCCUUCGGGUUGUAAAGCACUUUCAGCGGUGAGGCGUUACUCGCCGAAGAAGCACCGGCUAACUCCGUGCCAGCAGCCGCGGUAAUUC